rnacentral:rRNA from 1 species
GAGUUUGAUCAUGGCUCAGAUUGAACGCUGGCGGCAGGCUUAACACAUGCAAGUCGAACGGUAGCAGGAGAAAGCUUGCUUUCUUGCUGACGAGUGGCGGACGGGUGAGUAAUGCUUGGGAAUCUGGCUUAUGGAGGGGGAUAACUACUGGAAACGGUAGCUAAUACCGCGUAAUAUCGAGAGAUUAAAGACUGGGACCUACGGGCCAGUUGCCAUAAGAUGAGCCCAAGUGGGAUUAGGUAGUUGGUGGGGUAAAGGCCUACCAAGCCCGCGAUCUCUAGCUGGUCUGAGAGGAUGACCAGCCACACUGGAACUGAGACACGGUCCAGACUCCUACGGGAGGCAGCAGUGGGGAAUAUUGCACAAUGGGGGGAACCCUGAUGCAGCCAUGCCGCGUGAAUGAAGAAGGCCUUCGGGUUGUAAAGUUCUUUCGGUGGUGAGGAAGGUAUCAACUUUAAUAGAGUUG